rnacentral:rRNA from 1 species
UACGUAGGGGGCAAGCGUUGUCCGGAAUCAUUGGGCGUAAAGAGCGUGUAGGCGGUCCGGUAAGUCCGCUGUGAAAGUCGGGGGCUCAACCCUCGAAUGCCGGUGGAUACUGUCGGGCUAGAGUGCGGAAGAGGCGAGUGGAAUUCCUGGGUGUAGCGGUGAAAUGCGCAGAUAUCAGGAGGAACACCUAUUGCGAAGGCAGCUCGCUGGGACGUUACUGACGCUGAGACGCGAAAGCGUGGGGAGCAAACGGG